UAAUGUCUGGGAAACGUGCCUGAUGGAGGGGGAUAACUACUGGAAACGGUAGCUAAUACCGCAUAAUGUCGCAAGACCAAAGUGGGGGACCUUCGGGCCUCAUGCCAUCAGAUGUGCCCAGAUGGGAUUAGCUAGUAGGUGGGGUAACGGCUCACCUAGGCGACGAUCCCUAGCUGGUCUGAGAGGAUGCCAGCCACACUGGAACUGAGACACGGUCCAG
rnacentral:rRNA from 1 species